UUAUUAUUUAGAUUUUAUUUACGAAUGACAUUAGUCCAUAAAUGUUAGCAUUCACUCGUUUUCGUUUCAUUUCAGCAGGGUGAACGAUUAAUUUCGAACGGUUCAUUCACGAUGAGAAACACUUUGGGUAUUACGCAGCGGCUUUGAAUGAAACUUCCCAACUAGGUCGAGGUUCGAUUUCAGGCAGCGUUAUCUCAAGGCCUCGUUAUCUAAGAUGAAGGAAAAAUUAUUUUGAGUGACGAGCUCUUGAUCAUUUAAAGAGAAGUGAAUUAUGCAAAUGUAUACAUAUAGAUAAUUGCUCAUGAAUAAGAAUUCACCACAAGAGAAAUAAACAAAUUACGCUUUGUAUUUUUUUUUUAAAUUCAUUUCAAUUUACUAAUAUUUGUUCCUUUAUUAAUGUUCACAAUAUAUGUUCACAAUAAUUCUUGAGACAAUUCUUGAUUUUUAAAUCGUAUAUCUUCAAUAAUGAUUUUUUAUAAAUUUAAAUUUUUCUUGUUUGAUUCAUACAUAACCUAUUAACGAUCUUCAACUUCCAUCUAGAAUUAUAUAUAAAAAAAUUCCUUUCUUUAAAAUAUAUACAACAAUUUCUCUAAUUCAGAAUAUUAUAUUGAUUAGCCUACUAUUAUAAUAAUCACUCUAAUUUUCGACUAAAUUGAAUAAUUUUAUCGAAAUCUGCUUUACUGCUGAAAGUAAACUUCAAGGUGAUAUGGACAUAUAUUGCGUGCAGAAAGUCCGUUGACGCAUUGCAGAAGAACAAAAUUGUCGAGAGGUCAGCAAAAUGAGCGAAAAGAGGUAAAGCAAAGUAUAAAAAAGAAAUGAAAAAAAGAAAAAAGAAAGAAAAAAGAGAAAAUGAUGGCGCAUUUGAACCGACGGAGAAACAGCAUUCGUCCCUGCCCGGCCGGUAAAUCAAUUUCGUCGAAGGACAAUCCAAGAGUCCGAGAAUUGCAGCGGGGUCAACGAGCCGCGUAGCGGCCGCAUUAAUUAAGUAAACGCUGCUCCUAUUGCCGACCUCUUUUAACGACUAAUCGCUUUCGACGCUCACGCGAUUACGUUCGCUACUCUUCAUCGCUAUCAUUUUCAGACUGGAAUACUAUUUAGAAAUCCUAAUUUAAUCAUCUAUGCAUCUGGCCAAUCGAACAAUUAAGUAACAUACAUCACGACAUUCAAACUAUUAUCUAUGGCUCAGAAUAAUAAAAAUAAAAUUUUCAUUAAACAAAGAUAUUUCUAGUAUGUUUUUUCAAGAAUUAAAACAUCAAGAAUUUAACAAAGACAUAUUUUUCAAAUUAAAUUUCGUUUCGAUAUUAAAUCUUUAUUUUACAUUUAUCAUGUUAUAAAAUGUUAAGCGAAGUUGCUCGUUAUAGAUAUAUCAAUCAGCUGUUGACGCACAACGGGACAUCUAUCAAGAUUGCUUUAACAAGAUAUUAUCAUUGAUGGAGUUAUUUUCUAUCGAAGAGUGAAAUUAAAUAAAUUAUAUUUUCUAUAAAGAUGUGAUAGGAAAAAAUUCACGUGUGAUCGCUUCGAACAACGUAUUACGCCAGAGACAUAGCCUGCACGCAGUGUGGUCUCUUACAUAAGUCAGAACAAAGGUUAGACAAAGAGAUAGAGAACACUGAUAUGAAUAGUUGACACGUAAUGAUGUUUUCGCAUGGAUUCUGGUUUCUCUCGGAAAAUAAAACACUUAAAUAAUUCUUUAACUUUUAUAAACAGCAACAGUUAACAAUCAACUGCAAGAUUGAUGUGUCAAUUGAAUGCAUCUAAACGUAUAUGUAUGUUCUGCGUCAUUGCAAUGUUCAAAUUUAAAUUGUUUCACUUACCAAAUUAGAAGAUGAUUGAUUUAUUUGACAAACGAUUCUGAUACUGGCAGUGCUCUUGUUUUUAUUUUUCUGUCUUCCAAUAUAUAUUCACUCAAAUAUCACGCCAACAAAUCGGCACAGAAAAAGACGUUUCAUCAACGUAUACUAUUCAAUUAAUACGAACAUUCACGCCGGUUUCUUCGGGCACAAUGAAAUGCGAGACAUGCGACAGUUUCGACGCUCGUACCGUCUAUGUCCGCAACGUAUUACAUAUACCACUUUGCAUAGAUGAAACGAAUCUUAUAAAUGCACGAAAUCACGUCUAUUUACACGCACUGUGAUAUUUAAUGGGACAGUAUCUCUGUUAAAGAAAGACGAAUCCAUAAACUCGUGUUCCAUUAACGCGAGUUUAUGAUA